AGCGAGGUCUUACCGAGUUAUACACUCAUCAACCCCUCGUUGAACAUACCUAAAACGUUGCCUCGGCGGGAACAGACGGCCCCGUAACACGGGCCGCCCCCGCCAGAGGACCCCCUAACUCUGUUUCUAUAAUGUUUCUUCUGAGUAAACAAGCAAAUAAAUUAAAACUUUCAACAACGGAUCUCUUGGCUCUGGCAUCGAUGAAGAACGCAGCGAAAUGCGAUAAGUAAUGUGAAUUGCAGAAUUCAGUGAAUCAUCGAAUCUUUGAACGCACAUUGCGCCCGCCAGUAUUCUGGCGGGCAUGCCUGUUCGAGCGUCAUUACAACCCUCAGGCCCCCGGGCCUGGCGUUGGGGAUCGGCGGAAGCCCCCUGCGGGCACAACGCCGUCCCCCAAAUACAGUGGCGGUCCCGCCGCAGCUUCCAUUGCGUAGUAGCUAACACCUCGCAACUGGAGAGCGGCGCGGCCACGCCGUAAAACACCCAACUUCUGAAUGUUGACCUCGAAUCAGGUAGGAAUACCCGCUGAACUUAAGCAUAUCAUUAAAGCGGAGGA
rnacentral:rRNA from 1 species